UCAUAGGGCAUCGACCGGCUUCGGAGUUCGGACCAGUUUAGUUAUCGAACCGGUUUGUUCACUCUCGAUCUGCUCCUUCACUUCUGCUUCGCUUUUUUGAUUGAUCUCUUGACCAAAUCGAGGAGCUCAGGUCGCACGAGUCACGAUGAUGUCUCCGAAAUCUCCCAGUUCCGAUGCGCGCUCGGUUGCUUCCAGUUCAAGGCAAGCUCCCUUGCAGAUAAUACAUGUUGUUGGGAACUUCAUGAGAAUAUGGUCUGUUUACUCCUUGUACCAUUAUCUAGCCCAUCACGGAGACAGUGUAGUAGCUUUCAUUUUCAGUUGCCUGGUUCCAGCUUCUGUUAUAUUCCUAGUUCUGCAAAAGCCUUGGAAAGGGAGGCCUCUGCCAAAUUCUCAGGUAAUACCAACUGUGAUUAACGGUGGGAUUAUGGCAUCAUAUUUUGUACUAUGGGGAAAGGGACUUCAAUCAUGUGGGCCACUGAUUGCUCUACUAGCAGAGUAUGCAGGUGCUGUCCUUGGGGUCUUAUCUGCAGCAUUAUAUGGAAGGAAAGUACAUAUUUGGAGAAAGGUGGGUGGACUCUUUGCAAUGUUGGCAUCCUACUAUUUACUCUUGAAAGGGUGGGCUACAAGAACAAAUUCACCAUUUUAUAGCUUUAACAAAGAAUCACUUGGACAAGCAAAACCAGCUUUAGAACUCAAAGAAUUAGUGGUGCCCAUUUCGGCGGGUAUUUUAUCAGCAUUGAGGAGGGUCAUUGCACGGCGUAUAUCUCUCAAGAAUCAACUUAAAAGGAGACUUCAUGCAAUGAGUGUUGCUUCUGCGACAUGCUUUCUUUUUCCUCUUGCCAUGUGGGACACAAUAUUAGGAUCAACGUCUGAUAGUAUUAUUAAGUUUCAGUUUCCAAGCUGGGCAUACUUGAGUACAAUCAUUUUUGGAAUUAUUUUCAUAUUCUAUGCCGAUAACAUUGCUGAAGAAAGGCUGCAUCUUGUUUUUUCUUCUCCAAGGCAUCUAAUGAUUUCAGGAGGAGGAAUCAUUGUCAUGGAAAUCUUGUAUCAAAUGGAUUUUUCUCUUAUGGGUUUUGUGAUUUGUUGUUCGAUUUUGGGAUUUGGUAUUUUUGAAGCAACUUCACUUGGAAGAUUUAGAAGAGGUUCUUUGGAUUCUCAGCCUGGAUCAGAAGGAGCACUACAAGAAAAUAUUCAGAUGUCUCCACUUCCAAGCUGAUAAUCAACCAUCCAUAUCGAUCGGGUUCCCCUCGGUUUAGAUGGACUCGAUGGGGUAGCAGCUAGUUGCGAGAGAGUUUCUACAAGUCACUGCCCAUUACCUCAACGUCAGCCAUGACGCUCAAAGUCUGUUGGAAACUAGAAGAAUUUCAGAAGAUUUUUUCAACAAAUUCCUCAAGAUUGCUCAGAUUAGAAUUGUGUAGCUACUUUACGUGAUGGCGAUGCCCCCACUCCCAGCAGACUGAACCUGAUCGAGUCCUUUUCAAUAAAAGUGUUGGCCUGCAGUUUCCAUCAAAAUCAUCGUACAGGGAGUGGGAAGAACUGAUGAGCUCACGAUGACAAGAGCAACAAGUUUUCAAUCAGUAUUCAUGUGUUUUAGUUGAGAUGAGAACAAGAACCAUAAAAUGAAAUAUAUAAAAUUAGGAUAGAAAUUAAAGAUACUAUUGUUUGAGUUUGAACAACAGAUUG